CAACAUUUAAACUUGUGAUUUUCUCACUAGCUGCUGCUUUUACAGCAAAUUAAUCAACAAAUUAAUCAACUCAUUCCCACUGUUCCCAGGAUAGGCUUCGGAUCCACUGCGACCCUGAUCAGGAUAAAGCAGUUGCACACAAGAGGUGUGCUGUUAAUGAUGCCCCUGCCGGGAUGAGGGAGGCCUCGCCGCAUUUUGUCUCCUGAUUAGGAUGCAGCGACGGCUUUUGUCACCAGCUCUGUCAGCCUCUGCAGGGACAAAGCAUUGUUACUGGAGCAUAAUUAGAUCUGCUUCCUCCUGAAGCUGCCACCUGCACUGACCGAGCAGUCAGGGACCAUCUCCCCCCUUUACUGAUGAAAACACUUGUUUCUCAAUAUGAACUAGGAUAAAUUGGAACAUGGUGAUGAGAAAAUUCAUAAUAUUGAUGUAUUUUUAAUGAUCCUGCGACCCAACAAAGACACAGACAUAGACGCUUGAUCACUGGUUUUCAAGCACUAUAGAUUGGAGUGGGUGACAUAUUGCUCAUUUUAUGGCAUCCAACUCUGCGAUAAUUACACAGGAGCGAACCCUUCAACUCAGACUUCAUUUCACAUUUCAGAUGACAGUAGUG
ensembl:lncRNA